UACGAAGGGGGCUAGCGUUACUCGGAUUGACUGGGCGUAAAGGGCGCGUAGGCGGAUGGUACAGUCAGACGUGAAAUUCCUGGGCUCAACCUGGAGGCUGCGUUUGAUACGUGCUGUCUGGAGUUCGGAAGAGGGUCGUGGAAUUCCCAGUGUAGAGGUGAAAUUCGUAGAUAUUGGGAAGAACACCGGUGGCGAAGGCGGCGACCUGGUCCGAUACUGACGCUGAGGCGCGAAAGCGUGGGGAGCAAACAGG
rnacentral:rRNA from 1 species